UCCAGACUCCUACGGGAGGCAGCAGUGGGGGAUAUUGCACAAUGGGGGGAACCCUGAUGCAGCGACGCCGCGUGGGUGAAGGAGCGUUUCGGCGCGUAAAGCCCUCUCGGCAGGGAAGAAGGAGGACGGUACCUGACUAAGAAGCCCCGGCUAACUACGUGCCAGCAGCCGCGGUAAUACGUAGGGGGCAAGCGUUAUCCGGAUUUACUGGGUGUAAAGGGGGCGCAGACGGCAGCGCAAGCCAGGAGUGAAAGCCCGGGGCCCAACCCCGGGACUGCUCUUGGAACUGCGCGGCUGGAGUGCAGGAGGGGCAGGCGGAAUUCCUGGUGUAGCGGUGAAAUGCGUAGAUAUCAGGAGGAACACCGGUGGCGAAGGCGGCCUGCUGGACUGCGACUGACGUUGAGGCCCGAAAGCGUGGGGAGCAAACAGGAUUAGAUACCCCAGUAAAC
rnacentral:rRNA from 1 species